UACGAAGGGUGCAAGCGUUACUCGGAAUUACUGGGCGUAAAGCGUGCGUAGGUGGUUCGUUAAGUCUGAUGUGAAAGCCCUGGGCUCAACCUGGGAAUGGCAUUGGAAACUGGCGACCUAGAGUGCGGUAGAGGGUAGUGGAAUUUCCGGUGUAGCAGUGAAAUGCGUAGAGAUCGGAAGGAACAUCUGUGGCGAAGGCGACUAUCUGGGCCAACACUGACACUGAGGCACGAAAGCGUGGGGAGCAAACAGG
rnacentral:rRNA from 1 species